UACAUGUGGGGCAAGCGUUGUUCGGAAUUACUGGGCAUAAAGGGUGCGUAGGUGGCCUGACAAGUUAUCAGUGGUAAAUCGAGGCUCAACCUCGUGGAAACUGGUAAUACUGUCCGGCUCGAGUACAGGAGAGGUUAACGGAACUCUAUGUGGAGCGGUAAAAUGCACAGAUAUAUAGAAGAACAUCAAUAACGGCGAAGGCAGUUAACUAUUCUGUUACUGACACUGAGGCACGAAAGCGUGGGGAGCAAAACGG
rnacentral:rRNA from 1 species